rnacentral:rRNA from 1 species
UACGAAGGGGGCGAGCGUUGUUCGGAUUUACUGGGCGUAAAGGGCGCGCAGGCGGUCAUUUUUGUCGAGUGUGAAAGCCCCGGGCUUAACCUGGGAACUGCGCUCGAAACGGGAUGACUAGAGAUCGGGAGAGGAGAGUGGAAUUCCCAGUGUGAGAGGUGAAAUUCGUAGAUAUUGGGAAGAACACCGGUGGCGAAGGCGGCUCUCUGGACCGAUACUGACGCUGAGGCGGCGAAAAGCGGUUGGGG